AUUGAACGCUGGCGGCAUGCCUUACACAUGCAAGUCGAACGGUAACGCGGGGCAACCUGGCGACGAGUGGCGAACGGGUGAGUAAUGCAUCGGAACGUGCCCAGUUGUGGGGGAUAACUGCUCGAAAGAGCAGCUAAUACCGCAUACGACCUGAGGGUGAAAGCGGGGGAUCGCAAGACCUCGCGCAAUUGGAGCGGCCGAUGUCGGAUUAGCUAGUUGGUGGGGUAAAGGCCCACCAAGGCGACGAUACGUAGCUGGUCUGAGAGGACGACCAGCCACACUGGGACUGAGACACGGCCCAGACUCCUACGGGAGGCAGCAGGGGGGAAUUUUGGACAAUGGACGCAAGUCUGAUCCAGCCAUGCCGCGUGCGGGAAGAAGGCCUUCGGGUUGUAAACCGCUUUUGUCAGGGAAGAAAUCUUCUGGGUUAAUACCUCGGGAGGAUGACGGUACCUGAAGAAUAAGCACCGGCUAACUACGUGCCAGCAGCCGCCGCCGUAA
rnacentral:rRNA from 1 species